GAAGAAUGACUUUGGAGUCCAUGAUGGCGUGCUGCCUGAGCGAGGAAGCCAAAGAAGCCCGGCGGAUCAACGACGAGAUCGAGCGGCAGCUGCGUCGGGACAAGCGGGACGCCCGCCGCGAGCUGAAGCUGCUGCUGCUGGGCACAGGAGAGAGUGGCAAAAGCACAUUUAUCAAGCAGAUGAGAAUCAUUCAUGGAUCAGGUUACUCUGAUGAAGACAAAAGGGGCUUUACAAAACUGGUGUACCAGAAUAUAUUUACAGCAAUGCAGGCCAUGAUCAAGGCCAUGGAUACCCUCAAAAUCCCAUACAAGUGUGAAAAUAACAAGGUUCAUGCACUAUUAGUUCGAGAAGUUGAUGUAGAGAAGGUGUCAAGUUUUGAGAACCCAUAUGUAGAUGCAAUAAGAAGCUUAUGGAAUGACCCUGGAAUUCAGGAGUGUUAUGAUAGACGACGGGAAUAUCAAUUAUCAGAUUCAACUAAAUACUAUCUUAAUGACUUGGACCGUAUAGCAGAUUCCACCUAUCUGCCAACCCAGCAGGAUGUGCUCAGAGUUCGAGUCCCAACAACAGGGAUCAUUGAAUAUCCAUUUGACUUACAAAGCGUCAUUUUCAGGUAGGAAAAAAGUUUUAGCACCCACUUGCUUUGCCACAUCUAUCAUGUUCCUAGUAGCUCUUAGUGAAUAUGAUCAAGUGCUUGUGGAGUCAGAUAAUGAGAAUCGAAUGGAAGAAAGCAAAGCACUCUUUAGGACAAUUAUCACAUAUCCCUGGUUCCAGAACUCUUCAGUUAUUCUGUUCUUAAAUAAAAAAGAUCUACUAGAGGAGAAAAUCAUGUACUCCCAUCUAGUUGAUUAUUUUCCAGAGUAUGAUGGUCCACAGCGGGAUGCACAGGCAGCACGAGAGUUCAUCCUGAAGAUGUUCGUAGACCUGAAUCCAGACAGUGACAAAAUUAUCUACUCUCACUUCACAUGUGCUACAGACACAGAGAACAUCCGCUUCGUCUUUGCUGCUGUCAAGGACACAAUCCUACAGUUAAACCUGAAGGAGUACAACCUGGUCUAACUGUGCUUGGGGCGUCCUCCAAAACCAACUUUCCGUGAUUGAAGAUAUACAAGAGGGACUGUAUUAUAAUCUGUGAAAACAAUUUGCAUAAUACUAAUUUAUUGCCGGCCUGGACUCUGUGAAUGUCCACAGAGUUUAUAGUUAAUAUUAUGAUUUUAUUUAAAGUAUAUGGAGGAAAAACAAAAGAUGCUGAAAUACAUUCACAGCACAUUUCCUCAUUUUUUAGGCAAAACCGUGUGACUCAAUGUGUUUCAAAUUCUCAGUCGUACAUUUACAAAAGAUAGCAGUUUUUUGCUAUUGAAGCAAAAUCAAGCUGGUUUCCUCUUUACCUAACCCUUUCUCUUCUCCUCCUUUUCUCCCCCGCCUUGUCUUUUAAAAGGUACAAUGGCCUUUUUUUCCCCCCCCAUUUGCAUUCCUGGGUGAAAUAUUUUCUGUUGAAUGAUUUGGUCAGGAAAACACUAUCAUCACAGUUUAAGUCAUCAGUCAUUCUAAUUUUACAGUAUGUACUUUGAAGGAUCAAAAAGUAUUGAUACUGUGAUUUUUAAAUUCUUUACAUGGGUGUCUUUAUUCUGUCUUCACUUCUGAGACUAGAAUACUAGGAUUGCAAAACAGAAUUACAGUUGUCUAAGGUUACUAAAUGUAACCAUAGUUUUACAGUUAAGAAAGGUGCACAGAAGACAGUAAUGAAGUAAUAAUUAAGACACAAUUUGGGAUGUACAUGGAAUAUGUUAGAACCUCUUUUUAAUUGCCGUGUGCCAUUUUUUUCUCUCUUCUUUUAUUCACAAAUGCCAAAUAGAAAAGUCAGAGACACUACAUUUUCUCCAGUGGCUGCAGCCUGAAAAAAUGUUUUUCUCAGUUUUGUGGGGUGUUUUUUUCUUAAGUUAGAGCUUUUUUAAGUGUUCGUUUUCCACAGUAGGAAAAUUAUUUUUAUUUUACAAAAUCCAUUUUGCCAAAUCUGGCUUUUUAUAAAACCAAUGCGCUUGAAACAUGAAAUACUGAUUGAAAUGCCAAAUGGAUGGGUUGGGAACUGACCUGAUUGAAUCAACUGCCAAAUGAUUAACACACACAGUUUCAGCUCAUGUGUUCCCUUUUUUAGAAAGUGUACCAUUUUCUAAUGCCAAAACCAACAUGCAAGUGAAUAUUCUCUAAGGUGUACCAUACACACCCACAUAUAGUCUAGUAAUUUAAAGACAAUUUAGAUCUCUCAUUUUGUAAGUUAUGACAUAAGAUUGUUUUCUGUAAUAAUGUCAAGGCACCUUCAGUUGUAUUACAAGAAGUUAUUGAUGAGAGAUCACAUUCAGGAACCUUUUUUGGUAAGGUUGAUUGUUAAUUGAUUCACAGGCAUUUGAUAGGCUUUCAUGCAAAAUAGCCUCUCUCAGUGUUCUUUUGAAGAGAUAUAUAAAUGUAAAUGCAGCAGUGAGAAAAUAAUUCUUGAAAUUUAAAUGUGCAAUUUUUAACAACAAAAGUGCAGCACACAUUGAUGAGCCUUUAUUCUGCAGCUUAGGUUGAAAGGUUUUUUGACCAGGUGCAUGAAAACUCUACAUAGAGUUCAGACAUGUAAUUGGAUUGAUUAUCUAUGAUGCCAACUGGCACUAGAGUGCACUUAACACAAAAAGGCUGCCACAUAGCAGCAGGUGGGAGGUGGAAAAAAGAAUGGCUUAUUAGUUGAUUACCAAAGUUAACAAUAAAUGCUAAUGAGAUAUUUUUCAUCCUUAACCCUCCCAAAUUCAAAAGAACGAUAAUAAGAACAGUUGGGUUUUUUUGCUCCCUCUUAAAACACCUUGUAAUUUAAAACUGGUUGUAGGUAUAGUGCAAUUAUGAAUGCUAUAAUCAUUGUACAUACAUAUAUAUAUAUAUAUAUAUAUGGCAGCAUCCAUAUUGGCUUUGUAAUCAUUAAUUUUUGGCAAAUUGAAUGUGCUGUAUUGAUAUGUAUCUAUGUAAUUGUAUUGUAUGUCUUAUAGCUAAUUCACAUUUUAAAUAAUGUUAUUUUAUUUACUUUUUUAAGAGAGAAGAAUGUAAAUUUUGUCAGUUUAUUUCUGACUAGGGAUUUGUUGUUGUUUUUAUUUACAAAGCAAAAUACUAUAGUACAGAGCGGUACUAGCAUCGUGCUGUAUAAAAUCAUUUGCACAUUCCUGAGUAGAAGUAAAUUGGGAUACCAAGACAGAGAUGAUUCACAUUCAAAACAAUGCUCAAAUCUUGGCAGGGCUUUAUACAGCUGUAGAAUACAAUCCUAUUACAAGAACUUAUGUUAUUAUAUCUCAUAUUGGAACAUAAACUUUAAAUGGAAAAUCAGUUUUUUAUUUGACUGAAUCGCAUUAGGUUUUACUUCUCUGAUAGUUUUAUUGGAAAAGUAAAUUCAGAGGUAUUUCGAACCAUUGUACCCUAAGUACUAAUGCAUAUAUGCUGUUGCCCUAAAAAUACCAUGAUAAAAUGCAAAACACCAGAUCAGUCUUUCAGAAACUUUGGAAACCUUAGAUAUAAAAACAACAACCAAAAAGUCACUAUUGUUAACGAUUUUAAGGAGUUAAAGUAUUUUAUUUAAUGAAGCUAAAGCAGGUAGAUAUAGAUUAUAAAAAGUGACACUGACAUUCUGAAUAGGGGAUCAGAGCAGUGACUCUUUCUUACAUACAGCUUAAAAAAAUUGGUCCUGAUCAUGCUAUGAAUGCAACAGAGCUUCUGUUUUCACAGUUCCACUGUUGAUAAUAUCCCUUUUUUUAACCUGGGAAUACAUUGCCCACGCUGGAUUCAGUGCUAUAAAUGGAACUGUAGCCAAAAAAGGAAGAAAAAAAAAAAAAAAAAGAAAAAAAAAAGGGGGGGGGAAGGAAAAAAAAAAGAAAAAGUAUUUAAAAAAAAGACAAACACAACCAAACAAAAAGCCGCAACAGUGGUGUCUAACAGAAGUUUGGAGUUUUUAAAUUUGGUUUUGGUUUUUUUUUCCUUAUGGGAUAUUGGGUGGGGGAGAAGGAAAUGUGGUUCCAAGUUUUGUAUAAAAACAAAACAAAAGUUUACUCAUGCUUUAUAGUUAUAUUGUGAUUGCAAAAGUUUUCAAGAGUGUAUGCCACUGGGCUAUUUUCUGGUAUUUUUUAGGUAAGUUGAACCUGUGGCAAUGUUUAGAUCGUUUGAGCAUGUUCUGGGAAAAAAAAAAUAUUCGGCAUGCCAAGGCAAGCUUUACAUGAAUCACCUAACACAGCAUUGCAGUAUGACAGUUUACAAAACAUUUUCUUUUUAAAUAACACAGCUGUUCCCACUUGUAGUAUAUUCCAUUGUGGUGGUGGUGGUGUUGCUGUUGUUUUAAUUGGUGGUUUCUACUAUGCCUUAUAGUGCUUAAGUUCAGAAGUUUGUGCCUCUAACAUGAAGCUGAAGGCAAAAACAUCAAGACAGAAACCCUUUUAAUUUUGCCAAAAUGAUGUGUUUUCUUUGAAUGUUAUAAAUGGGGGAGGAGGGAAGGAAAAUGUCUUGGGAACCUGUGUAUUCUAAAUGUUCACUAGCACAAGAAAGCUGUAAUACGUAUUUUACGGAAUCCUGGAACUUGCCUUUUUCACAAACUGUCGCUGUCCUUACAGAUGUAGGAUGAUGCAGCUAUAAGGGCAGUUUACUUUUUAUAAUUCAGUCUCUUUUGAUUGUUAAGGUGUAUGAACUGUACUUUUUAAUCAUACUGCCACAUGAUUGUGAAUCACUUUUUAAAGUUUGAAAAUGGAGAAGAGACUUUUAAUGCUGGAUAACAGUCAGAAUUGACUGCAUGAUUUGCAAAAACUAUAUGGGGGAAAAGGGCUGCAUAUAGAUAUUGCUAGACUCCCAGCCUUGAGUUGUAAGGUGCAGAAGACUUUCAGAUGACUUAACCUCAUGACCCUUUCCUAGUUAAACAUUCUUCACAAAAGAAUGAAAUAUUAGGAGAAAACAAAUACAUGUUAACCCACAUGAAAAAAAUAAAAUUUAGACAUUUAAUUUAUUACAUGUGCUGCUAUUCUUGGAGCUCUGUGCAUAGUUAUCCUGCAGACUAUUACAUUAGUGAACUAAUGAAGUGUUCACAGCAUAUUAACAAGGCUUACACAUGACCUACCUCUAGUUAAGAGAUUAGUAAAGUAGCUAUGUUUUGGAGAGACUGACAUAAGUAAUUUAGAAAAUUUAAAUGUCCCGGUAUUUAAUUAACCACGGUAUUUUAGAAAUUGACACUUUUACAAAUAUGGUCCGUCUUUUGACAUAAAACAUAAAUUCUAGAAUUUAAUAGACAUCAAGCAACUAAAGCCUUUCCAGCUUGUUUGUUUCGUAGAAGUCUUGCAAAACAAUGGCUUUAGUUUGAGAAGUGGAGCUACUGGUAUUUCCUCUUGCCUUUUGGUUAUCUGUAGCAUUUUGAGUUCUAUCAGUCAAACAAGAAAUUUUUUCUAUCUAGUCAAUACAUUGGGGUCACAACUUAGAUGAUGAAAAAGUUUUACUGUAGGUUUAUCUUGAGCUUUUUCACAGUAGUCAUACUGCAGGUAAGAAAGGAAUAGAGAUUUUGAAAACAGUGUCAAAAAAUACAUCAAGUUUAAUGUAAAUAAUUUGAAGGUUUUUUGCUCUCACAAUACAAUUUAAGUUGAUUUCCUUGUUUGCCAUGCUGCAGGAAAUCCUUAUUUGACCAGUUCUUAAUAUUUUUUUUCUUUUAAGGAAGGAGUGUCAGAUGUAUUUUUAAACCUAAGGGUAUUUAAAAAUUGCUGUUCUUAAAGUGUCACUUAAAUGCAUGUAUUGUGUGUUGCUUGAGGGACGAAAUUGGUUUUUUUGAAAAAUUAGUAUUGUACAGUUUCUGCCCCUCAAAAAUGUUGUUGGUUAAAAAUACACUAUUUUUUUUGCCAUAUCUUCAUACUAUAGUAUCUUCAUUCCUUGAAAUUUAGUUUUUCUGGAAUAUUUGGACUUACUGUUCUCUCAGAAUGCUUCUUAUUAUGGUAAAUACAGGAGAGAUAUAUUACUCCAAAAUUAAUUUUUAAUUAUACAUGCUCCAUCAUCAUUGUCUAAAUAUUACAACUUCCAGAGUAUCUUUGUUACAGCCAGAUGUUCAAAACAUUUAGGGUUUGUUACAGCGGUGAAGGUAAUUCGACAGUAUUAUAAAAGGUUUGGAGUUUUUUUGGCUUGUGUACAAUGGAAACUCAGAAGCAUGGGAGAAAAUAAAUAAAACCUAUGUCUCAGGAAAAGAAAACUCAGACUUUGCAGACAGGAAAAUUUCUUAAGGAGUUCUGGAUGAUUGCAGUACUACUGCAAGAGUAGUGUGUUUCUUAGAUCUUUUUGUACACCUGUGUCAUGAUAGAAGUAACAGAAAGAGGCUAUGUGCUACUUUCAGGAGUUUGACUCAUACCUGGUCAAAAAUCAGUGCAUCUUAGAUCAUUACUGAAGAAAUAGUAUUUCAGGCAAGUUGCAAAAAUUAGUUGGUUCUCCAUUAAGUGAACAAAACAGUUAAGGUAAGAAUCCUGGAAUGCAAACCGUUUGCCUAAGCAAAGACAAGAGUGAAUGGUUCCUCAUUUUUCUUUCCAGUUGCAGAAUGUAUGGGAGAAGGAUCAGUCAGUAGGGAAGGAUUUAUUUUAUGUUUGUGUCUCAGUGAAGAUAAUGUCAACUACAGUGUCAUUGUGACCUUUAGAUACGUGAAAUAGAUGUAGAAACUGUAUCUGUGUGAUUAGUUGUGCAUACUUGUGAUUAAAAUCUUACAUCAGACGCUAUGAUCAUCUCACCCAAUUACCAAGCAUUUUGUAGAACUCUGUCCCAAACAUCUAGGAGUUCCAGAAUAUUUAAAAACUGCCACAAAAUACACAAUUGCCAGAUCCUCAAGAGCACACCUGGUAUCAGUAUCUGAUACGAAGGCACCAGACCCUGUCUCACAGCUCAUUACUUUUAAAAGGACCUACUUUCCAAGACCUCCUUUGAUCCUGGUUUUCAUCCACUUCGAGCUUUCUCUCUCCCUUAUGUCAGCCCUGCUGCUUUGUCAAUGAACUGAGUGGAAAGAAAAAAAAAAAAAAAAAAAACUUAUUUUUGCAGUUCUUGGUUGGCUGCUUUAUUAGUCUAAUUUUCAGGGGUUUCAGCCAAUUUGGCUGACCAAUGGUUCAAAGAAGUGCUAAGCUGACCAAGUGGAAGGGAUAGAAUUGUGUGGCCAAAAGGCUUAGAAAUGAGGAAAAAAGGAGCAACAUUUUCCUCCCUGAAAACCUCAUCCUAGUGCUGUAGUUUCUGAACCCUUCAUUUUAUGCAAUAUUAGCUAUUCUGGCUUGGAAGUGCUGCACUUUUCAUUUUUAAAGGCCUUGAUUGCGUACUUAUUCUUGGGAAAAAAAAAAAAAAAAAAAAAAAAGGAAAUUACUGAACAAGGAGAGCUCUUGAUCCCUUUUAAGAAUCACAGGUUUCUCUGUACAUGGACUAAAUGCAACUGUAGUCAGACUGAUAACUGAUGGCAAAAAAUCAAACUUAGUGUUAAGGAUGGAAAAAUGCAAAAAUGGUACUUUUAUUCAUACCACCAAAAAACCCCUAAAACAAAGCAAAAAAAACCUCAAACAAAACUUGUUAUUUUCCAGUAAGCUCUAAAAAGAAAAUGUUUUCUAUCUUAUUUAAAAUGCUGUGUUGCUGGGCAUGACAUUCAAGGUUCACUGUGUCUUGUCCAAGGCACUUCUUUCUCCAUUCACACUUAUUUAAUAUCACACUCAUUAAUUGUUUCCUAUUAAUUGCUUCCACACUCAUUAAUUGCCAUCUAAAGAAAAUACAGUAUUGCUUUAAGUAUGUGCACUCUGGAAUACUUUCAGAUCCUUGUGAAUUAAAUGUAAAUUGGUCUGGUAAAAUUCAACAACUGAUGAUGUGUAGUACAGCUGAAGAGGAACGCACUUUGUGCUUAAUCUUCUUCCUACUGCCAUUUUGUUUUGAUUAUUUUUUGGUAUCUUUCCUUUAUCCUGUUUACCACAAAGAGAAGGUUUUUUGACAUACCAGAUUCAAUUCUGGUAGUCAUUGCAGAGUUGAUCAUACUGGCUCCAAAUUGUGAAUAAGACCAGCUUCAGAAGGUUCUUGUAAUCAGGGCCAGAUACAAUUUGCCUUUUGGACAUGCAUUUCAGAAAACUGUUAACACUAUAGUUGGAAUACAAUCACUUGAAAGAUGUAGUAUGUAGUAGGCAAACAUGGGCCAAAUUUUGCCAUUUUAGUCUAUCAUUUUGCAUUGUCAGUAGAAAGCUAUUUGCUAAGAUGUUGCUGAAAAUUUGCCUUUUUUCCUGCAGUCCUGUAUGAGGUGGUUAAUGCAAUGAUCAGGCUGGCACUCAACUGAAGAGAUGCAUUAAUUCGACAAUAAGUUCAAAUGUAUUCUUGCAGAGACUAUUGCAUAAGAUUACUUUAUAUGAUGCUAACAACAACAACAACAAAAAGAUACUUGCAUGCAGUAAAUACUUAAGAUAUUGCACUUUUAUACAUUUAUUAUAAAGAGGAAUCACUCCCUAAAAAUAAAAUUCCAUUUAUCUCACAAUGAAGUAUCUGGAGUCUCUUAACAAUUGUCAGUUACUUGUGCACACAAGUGUGAUUAUUGUAUACUAGAGGUUUAUUAACCUAUUUCACAUGCUGCAGAAUACUUGGUUUAUUUCAAAUGCUGAUUUUGGAAAGGCGAAAUUAUGUCUUUAUUAGUAUCUUGGUGACUACUUUUCUCAGCAUGUUUUUAGGAGAGCCCUCACAGUUACUGAUAAGACCUGAUUUAUUUUAGCUCAAGAAAUUAACUGAUUUACUAUUAUUGUCAAAGUUUUUUCUUCAAGUGCUUUAGAACUUCACUGUUUCAUCUCACUUUGCUGAAGUUAAGCAACCUGAGUGUAAUUGAGUGGCAAAAGGCUAGAUAUAAACGUAGUCAAAUUUGAUACUUCCCUUGCAUAAUAAUUUUUUAAUGUAUAAAUCAAUUACAUGACUAUAAUUUAGCAACGGAGCUAUUAGUCUUGAAUUGCAACAGGCUGUGGUGGUACUAAGAAGAAAUCAGUUGUCCUUAUAUACAUAAUCAUAUUAUUCAGAUUCUUUACAAGAUGUGAGAGGUAUUCAAAUAAUGUUAUGACUAAUACAUGUAAAAACAGUUUAACUCAUUUUCAGUAUUAUUUAAUGGUCUAGAAAUUGUUGGAAUCUCUUGUAAGAAGUUAUAGAACUGAUGCUACAAGUGGAAGAUUUUUGUGGUUAUGGAUUAAAUAAUUCUCUUUUGAUACAUA